rfam:Gossypium arboreum cultivar AKA8401 contig_60181_1, whole genome shotgun sequence.
AACCCAUGGUGAGGACACCUUUUCUAUAAUUCCUUAUACCUCUCCUGUGCAUCAUGUAGAGUCUCUAAAUCCAUUUGCAUGAAGGAAGAGAUAUCAUUCCUCAGCUU